CAAAACUAAAUUAUAAAGGGUUAGACUUUAGGCGAUUCAACCACUCGUCCGUUAUUGCCCCGCCAAAUUUCCACUACUAAGUAAUUUAACUCGUUCAAUCCAUGCCCAACCUCUACCCUCUCUCAAAACUCACAACUUAUCCCAGAUUACUUCUCAUCUUGCAACCCAGACGCUUCUCCUCCUCAUCAUCAUCAACGUCAUCCCUUUCAGUCCCAUCUCAUCAACAUAUAUCCUAUCUAAUUUUAGAUCAAAGGUCUGCGUCCCAAGCUCUCCAAACCUUCAAAUGGGCCUCACAACUCCCCGACUUCACCCACUCCCAGUCUACCUAUAGAGCUUUGAUUCACAAGCUCUGUACUUUCCGCCGUUUUGACACGGUCAAGCAACUGCUCGACGAAAUGCCCCACUCAAUCGGCUCCGCCCCAGAUGAAGAUAUUUUCAUCACUAUAGUUCGAGGCCUUGGCCGGGCUCGUAUGAUUCGUGACGUUAUCCAAGUACUUGAUUUGGUUUCUAAGUUUGGCAAGAGCCCAUCUUUGAAAGUCUUGAAUUCUAUACUUGAUGUUCUUGUUAAGGAAGACAUUGAUCUGGCUAGGGAGUUUUAUAGGAACCAAAUGAUGGGGAGUGGCGUUCAAGGUGAUGAUUAUACUUUUGGGAUUUUAAUGAAGGGUCUUUGUUUGACUAAUAGAAUUGCGGAUGGCUUUAAGCUCUUGCAGGUUAUGAAGUCUAGAGGCAUCAAGCCGAAUGUUGUUAUUUAUAAUACUCUGCUUCACGCACUCUGCAAGAAUGGAAAAGUAGGGAGAGCUAGGAGCUUGAUGAAUGAGAUCGAGGAGCCUAAUGAUGUGACUUUCAAUGUUUUGAUAUCUGGAUAUUGUAAAGAAGACAAUCUAGUUCAAGCUCUGAUAUUGCUAGAAAAGAGUUUCAGUUUGGGCUUUGUGCCCGAUGUUGUUACAGUGACUAAGGUGGUGGAAGUUCUUUGCAGUGCAGGCCGUAUGAAGGAAUCAGUUGAGACAUUAGAGAGAGUGGAGAGUAAGGGAGGUGUGGUUGAUGUUGUGGCUUAUAACACCCUAAUAAGGGGCUUCUGUAGAUUAGGGAAGGUGAAAGUUGGGCAUCGCUUCUUGAGGGAGAUGGAGAGAAAAGGAUGCCUUCCUAAUGUUGAAACAUACAAUAUAUUGAUCUCUGGUUUCUGUGAGUCCGGGAUGCUGGAUGUGGCUCUUGACAUGUUUAAUGAUAUGAAAACAGAUGGGAUCAGUUGGAAUUUCAAUACAUAUGAUACAUUAAUCAAGGGUUUGUUUUCAUGGGGGAGUAUUGAAGAUGGAUUUAAGAUCCUAGAAUUGAUGGAAGGGUCCAAAGGUUGUUCUGGGGGUAUUAGUCCUUAUAAUAGUGUGUUAUAUGGUCUUUACAAGAAAAAUAUGUGGGAUGAGGCACUUGAUUUUCUAAUGAAGAUGGAAAAAUUAUUUCCUAGAGCUGUUGAUAGGAGCUUGAGGUUAUUGGGCUUCUGUGAGAAGGGUGAGUUUGCAAAUGCGAAGAUGGUUUUUGAUCAGAUGACUAGUGAAGGUGGAAUUCCAAAUGUUCUUGCUUAUGAUUGCUUAAUUCAUGGAUUCUGUCAAGAAGGGCUUCUGCGGGAGGCAUUUGAGCUCAUGAAUGAGAUGGUUGGUCAUGGUUAUUUUCCUGUUGCAUCAACAUUUAAUGCUCUUAUUAGUGCAUUUUGUGGGCAAGGGAAAGAAGGGAGUGCUUUGAAGCUUCUUGAUGACAUGGUUGGGAGAGGUUGCAUGCCUGAUGUAGGAAGUUAUAGUCCUCUAAUUGAUGCUUUUUGUAGGAAGGGAAGCUUUCAGAAGGCUUUAAGUCUCUUCUCACAAAUGGUAGAGAAAGGUAUAACUCCAGAUUAUUUGACAUGGAACUCAUUGCUUAUUUGUCUCAGUCAAGAAACUGUCUGGUUAGAAAGCAAGAAUAUAUUCCAUGUCAAUAACCAAAUGGAAUGGAUAAUAAAGACAUACUUAUAGUAGUCGCUUUGAUAACAAGAUGCUUGAAUUCCUUAAUCGGCAAUGAAAUCAGAAUUAUCAUGUUGGUGGAUGGAGUUUCUUGAAAUCUCUAUAAGCCUGAAUUUUUAUGCUUGAGAUUUAAGUCAAGCAGG
rnacentral:misc_RNA from 1 species